GCGAUCAGUAUUUAAAUUUGCAUUUAGUACUGUUGCUGUUUCAUCCGAAAGUGGACGUCUCUGUGCUAAAAGCACUUGUCACGUGUCUUGCAUAUUUUGUUGCCAAGCCCUCAAAUGAAUGAGGCUGAGCUGACGCGUGACGUAUGUAGAACGCAGUGAGUGAUGGCAGACACAAAGGAGCAUCCUGUGGAGACACAAACACUAGAAACUUUGCAGGAAGGCUAUUUGCUAUUGUGACACCAAUUUAUACAAACAAGAACACUCGCGAUAAACACAGCUGCUUUGUACAUUAAUAGUAUGGGCUCUUGCUAUCAGCGACGCUGGAACUGUAUUUGCUUAGCAUCGGAUCUGCAGCGUCGCGUGAGUAGGUGUCGAAAACCGGUUUCGAGUGACGUAACACUUCCUAUAAAGGGCUUUGCGCCGGGUCUCGAGUUCCUUUCUCUGCGGUCCGUCAUGCGAGGACGAGAGGAUGUGAUGGGGAGCAGUGGCUCUACAGUUCUUGCUGCUGCGAUGGUGCAUGUGGUGUCGCAGACGACGCUUCAGUCCAACUCGGUAAGUCGUGCUUGAGGACUAAUGUGCUGUAGACCAAGUAAUGAUGAUUGGCUUAAUAUGUUCAACUGCUCUGAAGUGUGAGUGACAGCUGCCUCUCUGAACACCUGCUGCACUGUAACCACAAACUGAGUGUUGUUGAAGUCCCGCUGACCUCCAUCCUACCUCCUUCUGGCAGGUUUUCCUCUUGACCUGACUUUCUGCACUGAGGCAGCAGUAAACGGUACGUCGCGUUUCUGCAUCCAUAUCACUCCCACGAUGUAAAUGUCCACCACAGUGAAAACCAGACUGACACAUGAUUAAAUCAGUGAAUCAAGAUGUGCAAAAGGAAAAACAAGAUCUGUUAGAAUGAAUGUUAAUCUCAAGGAGAAGUGAAUUGGAGCCACAAUGGCAGCACUGUGUGGUAUCUGCAGCCAGCUGCUUCGUUAGCUGGUUUGUUCAAAAGUCAGUGCAAGAUGAACUCAACAAAUGGCAUCGUUGGUCUCCCGACUGCUUGUGUUUGGAGUCCUGGUAAACAUGUUGGUACACACUGCAUUACUCGUGGAUCCGUACUCAUCAAAUAAAGCUGUUUUUGUUUUUUUCCUGCAACUUAAUUUUUGUUGCUGAUCUGAAAAUGAAUUGCUUUUGUAAUCAGCCAUGGUGUUUGUCCCAGUAACCCUGCAUCAACUGCUGAGCUCACUGUUUACCUUUUUCCAGGUUUCUGCUGCCACAACUGAUCAUGUCCUGAUCCAAGGUUUCAACUGCAGUAAUGAAGGUGAGGAUUGGCCCAAAGGACAAAAGGGGCUGGAGCCUUGGUCCUUCCUUACUAAUGUCUGUGGAAAUGUGUUUUUGCACAGAGUAAGAACAAGUGCAUAUGCAGAUUCUCUUGUUUCUAAUGCUGUUUAUCUUGUGUAACUAAAAUAAUUUUGUAUCAGCAGGUUGUGCCAAAAUGUUGCUGCCACACCUCAUUCCCCUGUAAGUGUCAACAUGUUUCCCACGAGGUGCAAGUGACAAACCCUCUAUUGUUAGGAGGAAGCAGCAGACUGUCCAACUGAAGACGCUGAAAUAAAUCAAGUUCAAGUAAGAAAUUGACUGGUGCUUGAUGUAGUCGUGCAUAUCAUUUAUGCUCUGUAGUAUGCUGAGGUCUAUCCCGACAGACCUUUCUCUGUAGGGCCGUGUUGUUGGAAAUGCCUCACAAAGUAAAUCUGUUUCGCUUUACCCACAUGUUCACUGCCAUGAACGUUGUGAGAUACUGAUGCAGAACAAGUGUCUGUCAAAUAUUACCAACUGCUCCAUAGAUUUUCUAUUCUGUCAUUGUUUACAAGUCUUAUCAGUGGACUGUUUUCAUAUCACUGGUUAGGGUGGACCACACAGAUAAACAUGGAUAGGAGUAAUCGGUAUAGUGUGAGUACCGUGAGGUUCUGUGCAUACCACGAGCCUGCUUUAACAGAGUUUCUUUUUUUUAAAUUUAAUAUUUUUUUAAAUGAAUGAUCUCUGAAAAUCCCUGAACUCUAUAAAACUCACAACAUGAGGUUUUCAGCAACAUUUGGAAAUUUUAAAAAGAGGGAGAGAUCUGGAGCAAAGAGGCAGAGCAGUUACCGCGACGAUGAGCUCAGGUGGCAUGGAGGAAUUCUUUCCGAGCAUCAAAAACAGCAGCACUUGUUACCGUAAUCAACAUUAAAACUUCCUGUUCAACAAGCUCCAGUAUGAGGAAAAGCCAGCUGCUCGCAUGCAAAGUGACAGCAGUGAAAAUGAAAUGUGCAGGUGAACAAUUAACUUUAGACUUGACAGUUAACUGAAGCCUGCAGCAAGCAGGCCUGGGUCUAAAGACGGUCUUCAUUAGAACAUGACAGGACACGCUCCAAUAAUUUAAUAAACUCUCCAUAUUACUGUGAAGCACUUUGGUGUGCCUUCGGGUUUUUAAAUGUGCUAUAUAAAUAAAAUUGUAUUGUAAACCCAUGUGUUUCAGAAUCUGAAGGCUGUCCUGCCUGCAUGGAAAGGACUGCAGCUGAUCGCUGUAAGUAGUGUUUGUGCGUCUGUGUGUCAAAGUGGUCAUGAACCAAGGCUGUCAGGAUUCUGUGUUCCUGUUUAGCUGUGGACAUGACCAAAAAGCAAGCCAUCCCAGUGGGCUUCUCAAGCAACCAGCUUAGAAGAACCUGUUGGGAACAUUUCCUGAGGGGUAUAUGAAAAAGCAAAAUUCCAGGAUUAGUGACAUGUUGAGGCUUCACUUUCAGGAAGGUGUCGCUCAGUCACUUUGAUUCAAUAAAAAUGUAUUUCUAUAAGGCCAGUUCACAGUAAAGGUGCUUUUAAUGUAAAAGAAGCUCCAGCAGAACCAGGCUCAGGGGGUGGCAGUCGUCUCCUGUGACUGGUUUGGGGUGAGGGUAAACGAUCAUGAUGUUGUUGCUAUAACGACGCCUAGCCCAUUGGGGCAGUAGUUGAGUGUAGUGACAAACUGUAGAGUCGAGCUAAGCAGCUGACAUAUUCAACACAAUUGAUGUCACUGACUUCACUUAGUGACGGUGCUGCAGUCAUUCUGUGUCUGAAAUCUGUUCUUUUCCUUUCAGGAGUGGAUCAGUGAUUCCUGAGAGGAGACUGUUCUCCAGGCUGACGCUGGCUUUGGAGGAAACGUGUUGUAACCUUUGCAAAUGAGGAUUUAAUAAAGGAUGUCGUGUUACAGCAAACCUUGACUUGGCACUUGUGUUUGGACCUUGUUUAAGUCUUUGGCUUGCAGAAACAAGGUCAAUGAAUACUUGGUGGUAAUACAUUUUAAAGCUCCGUACUUCAUGAUGAUUUUGGGACAUGGAUGUCUGAGGGUUGAUGUUUACACGUGUUCCAGAACCUACUGAGGGACGUGGGGAUUUUUAUUUUAUCACUGACUAUUUUUAAAGAAAAGAUCAAGGUUUUAUUUUUAAAAUCUUGCCUUGUCAUAGAUUUAAUUCCUGCACUGUCCUAUUAAACUUGAGACUAGCACUCACUGAUACUGGGUGUUUGAUCUUGAUGCAGAGGG
ensembl:lncRNA